GCAAGUCCGCAUUUGAGAAUACCCACAUUUAAGAAUAUUCGUUGAUGGAUACGCAAAAAGGCGACCCAUGAACGAAUUUCUGACCAAAAAUCCAUCUAAGAACAAAAUACCGAGAUGCCCGAUUGCUCGGUUCGGGUCAAGUCGUUUUGUUUCUUUAAUGUAUUUUUGUUAUGAAACAUGUUUCAUUUUGAGUGAAAAAUUUUCUUCACAAACAACAAUGUGUCAAACGUUCUCGCAUAAAUUUAUAAAUCUUCAUCGAAUUCAGUGUUUAUUGUGAUCCUUCAUUUGCCUCAAGUGAUUUUCCAACUUAGUCUUCAAUCCCGGAAUCUCUUUAGCAUCAUAUUGGCAUCAUAGGGCUCUAUUGGUGCUUGACAACGCCCCUGAGCACCCUCCGGAUCUGCAAGAAUGUUUGGACGAGGAUUGUAGCUUCAUAAAGAUUGUGUACUUGCCCCCAAAUUUGUUAUUGCGAAUUUUAAAUCCCUGUACCUCAAAGGACUACUGACAGAGCUCUUUAAUGAAACCGAAAUUUCCGGGAAGACGUCCCUUCAUGAGUUUUGGAGAGAAAAAUUUGAUAUUGUGGUAGCGAUUGAACUUAUCAAAAACGCUUGGGAAGGUGUUUCAGAGCAAACUCUUCGAUCUUCAUGGAAGAAAUUGCUACAAAAAGAAACAAACGAAUCAAACCAUCCAGUCGGACGCAUCUCAACUUGCAAAUGGAUGAAGACGAAGACAAUUUUCAGGAAGGGUGGCGAGAUGAUUCAGGUGCAACAGGAAGUCCAGCAGUCGGACAGCAUCUCAAUUCAGAAACGACAAGAGAGAUACUGGCACUCGGCGAAUAUCUCAACCUUGAAAUGGAUGAAGAUGAUAUAAAUGAGAUGCAACUUGAUUCACGUGACAUUGAGAACUUGGGAUUUAAAGAUCUUCAGGAUCUAAUUAACCUCGAACAAGAAGAAGAGGGUCCAUCAAGUGAUGACGCAAGAAGUGUGCUGCUGGAAACAUACGCUGCUCUUAAGAACAAAGUCAACUUGUGGCUUCCGGAUGAUAACGAUUUUGCUACCAUUACAAAAGAGAUGGAGCAAAAGGUGCUUCCUUAUUUCCAAAAGGGGGCGAAAGUAGCCAGAAAGGCAGACAAAUUUGAGGGAAUUUUUCAAGUCUUCUUAAAAAUACGUAAAGAAAAGUUUGAAAAACAAAGCAAAGGAUAUUCUUAUUAUUUAAACUAAACACAAUCAAUUUGUUUUUAUGUGAUUUUUCUCCAAUUCUUAUAAAAUGUUCUUUUUAUGUAACAUUAAUUAAAAAAAAAGAAAAAAAACAGGAAUAAAAGAAAGAUUUUUCGUAAAAAUUCA